AAUCAACCUUAGUGUUUGCUCUCUCUGAAGACUUUCCUCAGAUCACAGAACAGAUUAGUGUGAUCCACCCUAUCUCCUGUAGACCAUAAUCAGAAUUUUAAGCAAAUCUCUAAGAUAGUUCCUCUCAAAACCCUUGUAAUAAUUUUUGGAUGUUUAUUAGCGUCAACAGACUGAGAUACAGAGAAUAUAUCUGGUUAAGUUCUACAAUUUCAACUAGGAGUACCUUAUAAAUGAAUAUUCUGUGAGUAACAGAUACAGAGUAAAUUGUGGGAUCCUUUAUAUUAGCUUAAUGAUGGAGCUCACAGUAGCAGUAAGUGAGAAUCAACGAGGAGAAAAGUCAGAUAGGAGAGAGACAGACUCAUGUGAGGACUGAGUGCCACAACACCUCAAAGUAAACCGUGAGUUUAGAAAAAUAACCUUAUAAAAAUCUUUCCUUACUCUGAAUUAAUCUCAUAAUUAGUAGAUUCAUUUAAAAAAUCCAUAGGAGCUCCUGAACUCGUCAGCGGAGUUAUUUUAUACAGAAGUCUUGUGAGACCGCUGUGCAAACAAGGCGAUGAUUGUACAGAGUAGUAUUGAAUUCCAGACCUGGAAAAAAUGGUCAUCCAGUGGCAGAAAAUUUCCGAGUAGAAGAAGUAAACUUACCAGAUUGUGUCAAUGAAGGACAAGUACAAGUCAGAACUCUUUAUCUUUCCAUGGAUCCUUACAUGCAUUGUAGAAUGAAUGAAGACACUGGCAGUGACUAUAUAACACCUUGGCAGCUGUCUCAGGUGGUUGAUGGUGGAGGUGUUGGGAUUAUAGAAGAAAGCAAACACACAAAUUUUAUGAAAGGCGAUUUUGUGACUUCCUUCUAUUGGCCCUGGCAAACCAAGGUUAUUCUGGAUGGAAAUAUCCUUGAAAAGGUAGACCCACAGCUUGUGAAUGGACACCUUUCGUACUUUCUUGGAGCUAUAGGGAUGCCUGGUUUGACUUCCUUGAUUGGGGUACAGGAAAAAGGUCAUAUAACUGCUGGAUCUAAUCAGACAACAGUUGUUAGUGGGGCUGCUGGUGCUUGUGGAUGCUUGGCUGGGCAGACUGGCCAUUUGCUGGGCUGUUCCAGAGUCGUGGGAAUUUGUGGAACACCUGAGAAGUGCCUCUUUUUGACCUCAGAAUUGGGUUUCGAUGCUGCAAUUAAUUACAAAGAGGGGAAUGUUGCAGAACAACUCCAUAAAUUAUGCCCAGCUGGAGUGGAUGUUUACUUCGACAAUGUUGGCGGUGACAUCAGUGAUACAGUGAUAAGUCAGAUGAAUCAGAACAGCCACAUCAUCCUAUGUGGUCAGAUUUCUCAGUACAACAAAGAUGUGCCUUAUCCUCCACCACUACCCCCUGCUAUAGAAGCAAUCCAGAAAGAAAGAAACACCACAAGAGGAAGAUUUCUGGUGUGAAAUUAUAAGGAUAAAUUUGAGUCUGGUAUUCUCCAGCUGAGUCAGUGGUUUAAAGAAGGGAAGCGAAAGAUCAAAGAGACCACGAUAAGUGGGCUGGAAAACACGGGAGCUGCAUUCCAGCCCAUGACGACAGGAGGUAACACUGGAAAGCAGAUAGUCUGCAUUUCAGGAGAUACCUCUUUGUAAUCUCCAUAAACAUCUUCAUCAAGGAAAUACAUGGACUUCUUUCCAUUCUGCUGAAAGAUUUCAAGAUAUAUUAAAAAACCCUUAAGAGUAUAGAUAGUUUUUGCUUUCGAUGUGAUAAUAGGUGAUAUUUUCUUAGUUGCACAACAUAAUUCACUCCUAUAUCUUCAAUAUCAUAUAUGUACUCUACAUCCUAUAUGAUUAUUUACAAUAAUAGAUUGAUGUCAAUAUGACCUAUUUUUCCUUCUUUUGCUAAAACUAAUAUUACGUGAAAUUUAUAUCAGAUAUUCAGAAACUGUUGGAGAUUUAAUGUAACUUUAAUAGUUAUUACAUAGUUAAAUAAAAAUAUUUUUAAAUUAAUAUUUUUAUAACUUUAUAAUGUUUGUUUAAAAUAGAAUGCUUGAUAAGACAC